UACGUAGGGUGCAAGCGUUGUCCGGAAUUAUUGGGCGUAAAGAGCUCGUAGGCGGCUUGUUGCGUCACCCGUGAAAACCUGGGGCUCAACUCUAGGCCUGCGGUUGAUACGGGCAGGCUAGAGUUCGGUAGGGGAGACUGGAAUUCCUGGUGUAGCGGUGAAAUGCGCAGAUAUCAGGAGGAACACCGGUGGCGAAGGCGGGUCUCUGGGCCGAUACUGACGCUGAGGAGCGAAAGCGUGGGGAGCGAACAGG
rnacentral:rRNA from 1 species